GAUGAACGCUCGCGGCAGGCCUAACACAUGCAAGUUGAGGGAGAAGCCCUUUCGGGGGCCGAAACCGGCGCACGGGUGCGUAACGCGUAUGCAACCUACCUUUCACAGGGGGAUAGCCCGAAGAAAUUUGGAUUAAUACCCCAUAAUAUUAUUGGAUGGCAUCAUUUGAUAAUUAAAACUGCGGUGGUGAAAGAUGGGCAUGCGUCCUAUUAGCUAGUUGGAGUGGUAACGGCACCCCAAGGCUACGAUAGGUAGGGGUCCUGAGAGGGAGAUCCCCCACACUGGUACUGAGACAGGGACCAGACUCCUACGGGAGGCAGCAGUGAGGAAUAUUGGUCAAUGGUCGGAAGACUGAACCAGCCAUGCCGCGUGCAGGAAGAAUGCCUUAUGGGUUGUAAACUGCUUUUAUAUGGGAAGAAUAAGGCGUACGUGUACGUUGAUGACGGUACCAUAUGAAUAAGCAUCGGCUAACUCCGUG
rnacentral:rRNA from 1 species